ensembl:lncRNA
GUUAGAAUGAAUGGGUGUAUUUGGGAAAUUGGCAGUGAACAGGUGGGCUGAAGACAGUGGAAUGAAUAUGAAAGACAUCUGGGAGUCUGAGCACCCAGCUUUCUCCCCUGUACUGGCAGAGCUGCAUGCACGAGGUCUGCGUUCUGUCAGUCCUGGAAAGAGCACCCUGCAAUGAAGGCAGAAGUGACAGCUGGAGGGGGACUUCGUGAGGGCAGUGUGUUUGAGGGCAUGAGUCUGAGCAGUGAGGCCUCUCAGUGCUUUGAGGAUCUCUUCCGGAGCCACCUUUUGCUGGAAGACUGUUUACCCUGCAGGACUUCUGCCUUGUUCCCCGGAAGCUUUGCUGAGGGACAGUCCCUGCAGAGCAAGCCUGAACUUCUUAAUCUGUCUCAAGGCUACUUAGAGACCUGUUACAGAUAGCAGAUUCUGGCUUCAAAACUACUGCCUGGAUUAAAGCAUGCUGCUAGAACAGAUGCUGGUGACAGCUGAGGAAAUCCUCCUGCAGGGGAGCUGUGUGAAGGAAGGAGCUAGAGGUGGCAUAUCAGGGGUGGAGAACUGCAAACCAAGGACUGAAGGCUUAAGAAGCAGCGAACACUGAGCCUUAGAGAAGCUGCUGGUGAGAUCCAGGCUAUUGGAAAGCAUCUCCCUGUUAGAUUUCUGACAACAUCUGUGGUUCCUUUGUUCUCUGAGGAGGUCUUGUCCCUCCUUUUGGGCCUAUGCUGUUGUAGAUAAGGAAGUUCUAUCAGUUCAAAAGACAGUGUAUUUGAAUAUCCCCUGCUUCUGUUACUGUUAGUGGCAAUUUCCAGUUCCUGUGAACUGACAGAUUAAAAUGCAUGUGCUUGCACGUACCAUGUGUUCUUCCAGCUGGCUGAAACCACAGUGACGUUUGUAUGUCACUAUCCAGACACCUCUAAGAGCACCUGCCAGCACUUAGCAGAGCCAUUCCCUACCAUGCAGGGAUGGUGGUGUGCUUAGUGCCUGUACCAGCCUAACAGUUUGUUUGUAAAAGGCUCAUUUCUGCCCUACAGCUCUCAUGCUUUUCCUCCAGAGGGAUUCCUGACAGUUCAGCACUUAAACAGUACCUUUCUUCACGCAGCACAGAUCUUCUGUACCUCCUACCAUUCCCAAAAGGUUAGGCUGCCAAGGCUGGGGAUGUCACGUCUCGUACAGAGCAGAGGGCUUUUCCAUGCUAAAGCAGGAUUCCUCCCAGCAGAACAGUGUCAUGCAGCCACAAAACCAAGCUUUCAA